CGCUUGCAUUCCUUGCAGCUGUACGGACGCUCGACGUCGUGGCUGCGCACCACGUGACUGAUGGCAAAACCUGCAAGAUCAAGGGCAGGGAGAGACUGACCCACAGGGUUUAUAUUCAGUUUUUUGGAAGAAAAACUGUUUGGAUUCACACGAAACGUCGUACAAACUACUUUUAUCUGCCGUCCACACAGCAGCAGGGUUGGGAGGCCUGAUAUCAGAGGUGGAAAUUUACUGCAGUACUGUAUUUAGUACACAUUGGAUACUUUUCUCAUGCCACUUUCUACUCAACUGUAUCUCAUGUACAUCUUGUACUCGAAAAUUAAUCAACAACUAUUUUGAUCUAAGGCUGCACAAUAAAACUCCAACAAUAA